AGGACGAACGCUGGCGGCGUGCUUAACACAUGCAAGUCGAGCGGAAAGGCCCUUCGGGGUACUCGAGCGGCGAACGGGUGAGUAACACGUGGGUUACCUGCCUCGAUGACCGGGACAACCCGAGGAAACUCGGGCUAAUACCGGAUGUGCCCGCAAGGGGAAAGGAAGCUUCGGCCUCCGCAUCGAGAUGGGCCCGCGGCCCAUUAGCUUGUUGGUGAGGUAACGGCUCACCAAGGCUUCGAUGGGUAGCUGGUCUGAGAGGACGAUCAGCCACACUGGGACUGAGACACGGCCCAGACUCCUACGGGAGGCAGCAGUGGGGAAUCUUGGACAAUGGGCGCAAGCCUGAUCCAGCCAUGCCGCGUGAGUGAUGAAGGCCCUAGGGUUGUAAAGCUCGUUUCGGCGGGGACGAUAAUGACGGUACCCGCAGAAGAAGCCCGGCUAACUUCGUGCCAGCAGCCGC
rnacentral:rRNA from 1 species